AUGGCGGCGAGCAGGACGAAGCUCCGGUCACUCCUGCUGACCUUCUUCCUCCUCAUCACCACCGCCAUUGCGGCACCCACCCUCGCCUGCGAUGAGUGCCACAAGCCCCCCAAGGCCCCAAAGCCUUCCCACCCGCCCAAGGCCAAGGCCCCCGCCCACCCGCCGAAGAGCCGCGUACCUUGCCCUCCGGUCUACGGCCCGCCCAAGGGCCACCUCCCUCGCACGCCGGUCGUCGGCCCGCCCAAGGGCAACGCCCCUCACACGCCGACGCCGGUCGUCGGCCCACCCAAGGGCCACGUCCCUCGCCCGCCGGUCUACAGCCCUCCCAAGGGGCCCAUCACGCGUCCGCCGGUCACCGCUCCUCCCGUCGUCGUCGGCCCACCGGUCACCUACCCGCCCAUCACCAACCCUCCGCCCAAGGGGCCCACCCCGCGCCCGCCGGUCACCACUCCUCCCGUCGUCGUCGGGCCGCCGGUCACAUACCCCGCGCCACCGGUGAUCGCCCCUCCGGUCACCACUCCCCCGUCGCCGCCGGCCACCACUCCCACUCCCCCGUCUCCGCCGGUCACCGCUCCCCCGUCGACGCCGGGGAACACUCCCCCGUCGUCGCCGGGGUGCGGCUGCGGUUCGCAGCCGCCAGCGCCAGCGCCGCCGGCGACGCAGACGUGCCCGGUGGACACGCUGAAGCUCGGGGCGUGCGUGGACCUGCUGGGCGGGCUGGUGCAUAUCGGCCUGGGCGACCCGGUGGUGAACCAGUGCUGCCCGCUGCUGGAGGGGCUGGUGGAGCUGGAGGCGGCGGUGUGCCUGUGCACCACCAUCCGGCUCAAGCUCCUCAACAUCAACCUCGCGCUGCCCCUCGCCCUCCAGCUCCUCCUCACCUGCGGCAAGACCCCGCCACCCGGCUUCACCUGCUCCAUCUAG
rnacentral:rRNA from 1 species